GGGGAUGUGGCUCAGUGGCAGAGCACUCACCUGGCAUGUGUGAGGCCCUGCAUUCCAUCCCCA
rnacentral:tRNA from 1 species